UACGUAGGGUGCGAGCGUUAAUCGGAAUUACUGGGCGUAAAGCGUGCGUAGGCGGUUCGUUAUGUCUGCUGUGAAAGCCCCGGGCUUAACCUGGGAAUGGCAGUGGAAACUGGCGGGCUUGAGUGUGGCAGAGGGGGGUGGAAUUCCGCGUGUAGCAGUGAAAUGCGUAGAGAUGCGGAGGAACACCGAUGGCGAAGGCAGCCCCCCUGGGCUAACACUGACGCUGAGGCACGAAAGCGUGGGGAGCAAACAGG
rnacentral:rRNA from 1 species